CCUCUGGACUGUCAUACAAACCUAAGUAGCAUUAGCGAAAAAGGGAUAGGAUGAACGAGGAA
rnacentral:ncRNA from 1 species